rnacentral:rRNA from 1 species
UACAUAGGUCCCAAGCGUUGUUCGGAUUUAUUGGGCGUAAAGGGCGCGUAGGCGGCCACGCACGUCCGUUGUGAAAUCGCCCGGCUCAACUGGGCGGGGUCAGCGGAUACGGUGUGGCUCGAGCAAGCUAGGGGGCAAUGGAAUUCCCGGUGUAGUGGUGGAAUGCGUAGAUAUCGGGAGGAACACCAGUGGCGAAGGCGGUUGCCUGGAGCUUUGCUGACGCUGAUGCGCGAAAGCGUGGGGAGCGAUCCGG